AUUGCUUCUUGACUUUUUGGCUAAGAUCAAACGCAGGCAUUGUUUUAAUCAGUUUAACAUCUAAUACAUCCUCUAUCUGUGGGCAACAUAUUGGAUGGAUUUUUGGAACAGGGAGAUGGAAUAGGAGCUUGCUACGUCAAUAAGUUUCUCUUCUUACACACUACUUCUAGACCAUGGUUCUUCUCC